UACAGAGGUCUCAAGCGUUGUUCGGAUUCAUUGGGCGUAAAGGGUGCGUAGGCGGCGCGGUAAGUCGGGUGUGAAAUCCCCCGAGCUUAACUUGGGAAUUGCGCUCGAAACUACGGUGCUGGAGUGUGGCAGAGGGAGGUGGAAUUCCACGUGUAGCGGUGAAAUGCGUAGAGAUGUGGAGGAACACCGAUGGCGAAGGCGGCUCGCUGGACCGGUUCUGACGCUGAGGCGCGAAAGCGUGGGGAGCAAACGGG
rnacentral:rRNA from 1 species